rnacentral:rRNA from 1 species
GAUGAACGCUGGCGGCGUGCCUAAUACAUGCAGGUCGAACGAAACUUCUUUAUCACCGAGUGCUUGCACUCACCGAUAAAGAGUUGAGUGGCGAACGGGUGAGUAACACGUGGGCAACCUGCCCAAAAGAGGGGGAUAACACUUGGAAACAGGUGCUAAUACCGCAUAACCAUAGUUACCGCAUGGUAACUAUGUAAAAGGUGGCUAUACUACCGCUUUUGGAUGGGCCCGCGGCGCAUUAGCUAGUUGGUAGGGUAAAGGCUUACCAAGGCAAUGAUGCGUAGCCGAAUUGAGAGGUUGAUCGGCCACAUUGGAACUGAGACACGGCCCAAACUCCUACGGGAGGCAGCAGUAGGGAAUCUUCCACAAUGGGCGAAAGCCUGAUGGAGCAACGCCGCGUGGGUGAAGAAGGUCUUCGGAUCGUAAAACCCUGUUGUUAGAGAAGAAAGUGCGUGAGAGUAACUGUUCACGUUUCGACGGUAUCUAACCAGAAAGCCACGGCUAACUACGUG